rfam:Mycobacterium litorale strain F4, complete genome.
AGCGCCGCGCAAGAGGGCCGACGGUCGACUCCGGCGGCGCCAGGGGCGGUGCGCUCCGCCCCGGGAAGCUGCCA